rnacentral:rRNA from 1 species
CCUACGGGUGGCAGCAGUGAGGAAUAUUGGUCAAUGGGCGCGACCCUGAACCAGCCACGUAGCGUGAAGGAUGACUGCCCUACGGGUUGUAAACUUCUUUUAUAAAGGAAUAAAGUGAGGCACGUGUGCCUUUUUGUAUGUAUUUUAUGAAUAAGGAUCGGCUAACUCCGUGCCAGCAGCCGCGGUAAUACGGAGGAUCCGAGCGUUAUCCGGAUUUAUUGGGUUUAAAGGGAGCGUAGAUGGGUUGUUAAGUCAGUUGUGAAAGUUUGCGGCUCAACCGUAAAAUUGCAAUUGAUACUGGCAGCCUUGAGUACAGGUGAGGUAGGCGGAAUUCGUGGUGUAGCGGUGAAAUGCUUAGAUAUCACGAAGAACUCCGAUUGCGAAGGCAGCCUACUAAACUGCCACUGACAUUGAUGCUCGAAAGUGUGGGUAGCAAACAGGAUUAGAUACCCGGGUAGUC